rnacentral:rRNA from 1 species
AUGAACGCUGGCGGCGUGCCUAAUACAUGCAAGUCGAGCGAACAGACGAGGAGCUUGCUCCUCUGACGUUAGCGGCGGACGGGUGAGUAACACGUGGAUAUCCUACCUAUAAGACUGGGAUAACUUCGGGAAACCGGAGCUAAUACCGGAUAAUAUAUUGAACCGCAUGGUUCAAUAGUGAAAGACGGUUUUGCUGUCACUUAUAGAUGGAUCCGCGCCGCAUUAGCUAGUUGGUAAGGUAACGGCUUACCAAGGCAACGAUGCGUAGCCGACCUGAGAGGGUGAUCGGCCACACUGGAACUGAGACACGGUCCAGACUCCUACGGGAGGCAGCAGUAGGGAAUCUUCCGCAAUGGGCGAAAGCCUGACGGAGCAACGCCGCGUGAGUGAUGAAGGUCUUCGGAUCGUAAAACUCUGUUAUUAGGGAAGAACAAAUGUGUAAGUAACUAUGCACGUCUUGACGGUACCUAAUCAGAAAGCCACGGCUAACUACGUG